CGAUAAUUCAAAUGGAAUUCAAACUACAUACAGUAUUUAAUAUUUUCAAAUGGUUCAAUAGCACAUGAUUUAGGUAUUUUUAUCUUUGGGACAAAUUUUGGAUUCAAUUGGGGAUUGUUUUUGGAGGUAUUCACUUUACAUGGUGUUCAAGAUGGUUACUUCCGCCCACUCUGAAGAGUCUCGGCGUCUGAUUGGUCCAGUUUUCAGUUAGGCGCCGCCUGAUUGGCCGUUGGAUGAUGUCUGAUCCUAACAGAUGGCUAAAUCACUAGUUAACUAUUUUCCUCAUGGAAGUUAUAUAGCUCAUGUAUCACACUUAAUAUUGAAUAUAUAUAUAAAAAGGGUUUUCCAAAAGUACCAUUUAUAAUCGAAAUACAAAACUUCACACACGAUUUUGAGCACAACAGAGCGCUCAGUGAACAUCACUUCCGGGACCUGCAGCAUCAGAGGGGGACAUCUAUCUUGGCCACAAACCAUCUUUGACAGUCUUCGGCAGCAUGGUUGAAUCAGGCGCAUCAACACAUGAUAUAGACAUCGUGUCCAAAAGAAGAGCGAGACGUAAUCCUGAGGCUGAAGCCACCGAGUUUAUUUGAUCUGGAUGUGACAAGUCUUGUUUUAAGGCCCAGUGGAUCAAUGAUUGGAAAGACACCAACUGUUGAUGUUCUAUCUCAACAUUCUCCAGAUUCAUACACCAACUGUUGGGGUUCUAUCUCAACAUUCUCCAGAUUCAGAUGUGAGUGAUAAACCGACUUCAUCCCUCCAACAGAAACCAACUGUUGAGGUUCCAUCUCAACAUUCUCCAGAUUCAGAUGUGAGCCAUUAACUGACUUCAUCCCUCCAACAGAAACCAACUGUUGAGGUUCUAUCUCAACAUUCUCUGGAUUCAGAUGACAGCCAUAAACCGACUUCAUCCCUCCAACAGAUUGACAGCAGGACAAACCGCUGGAAGUGGGUAUGUCUCAAGCUUCUUCAACGUGGUCCACUCCAAAGCGAGCUGCAAAGGUGAAGAAGUGGAAGCAGUUGAAUGACACAUGUUGCAUUUUAUAACUGGCAACAAAGUACCAGGUAAAAAAGAUUGUGAAGCCUCCCUCCACAAAGAACUAGUAGCUCUACAGGAC